GUUUGAUGAUGCUCUUCACACAGACCAGAGGCAGCCCCAUGUAGUUCGACUUGAUGAUCCACUUUAACAACUGAUGACCCAAAACCUCCAACACCAUACACACAUCUGAUUAUAGUUAAGGUCAGACAGACAGGUAGAGAGAUGGAGGCUGAGAGACAGACAGUUUAUCAGGAUACGGACUCCAUUCACUCCAGAGAUCUUGAAGUCGUCGAUCAGCUGGACGAUGGUUUCUCUGAAGGGGU